GAUGAACGCUGGCGGCGUGCUUAACACAUGCAAGUCGAACGGAAAGGCUCCUGCUUGCAGGGGUACUCGAGUGGCGAACGGGUGAGUAACACGUGGGUGAUCUGCCCUGCACUUCGGGAUAAGCCUGGGAAACUGGGUCUAAUACCGGAUAGGACGAUGGUUUGGAUGCCAUUGUGGAAAGUUUUUUCGGUGUGGGAUGAGCUCGCGGCCUAUCAGCUUGUUGGUGGGGUAAUGGCCUACCAAGGCGUCGACGGGUAGCCGGCCUGAGAGGGUGUACGGCCACAAUGGGACUGAGGUACGGCGCAGACGCCUACGGGAGGCAGCAGGGGGGAAUAUUGCACAAUGGGCGCGAGCCUGAUGCAGCGACGCCGCGUGGGGGAUGACGGCCUUCGGGGUGUAAACUACUUUCGCUAGGGACGAAGCGCAAGUGACGGUACCUGGAGAAGAAGCACCGGCUAACUACGUG
rnacentral:rRNA from 1 species